UACGUAGGGUGCGAGCGUUGUCCGGAAUUAUUGGGCGUAAAGGGCUCGUAGGCGGUUUGUCGCGUCGGGAGUGAAAACCCAGGGCUUAACCCUGGGCUGGCUUUCGAUACGGGCAGACUAGAGGUAUGCAGGGGAGAACGGAAUUCCUGGUGUAGCGGUGAAAUGCGCAGAUAUCAGGAGGAACACCGGUGGCGAAGGCGGUUCUCUGGGCAUUACCUGACGCUGAAGAGCGAAAGUGUGGGGAGCGAACAGG
rnacentral:rRNA from 1 species